rnacentral:tRNA from 2 species
UGGGGGCUCGUCUAAUGGCAGGACAGCUGUCUCUGGAACAGCCAGUAGUGGUUCGAAUCCAUUGCCCCCAGCCU